CAGUAGCCGCGGGAAUACGUAGGGUGCAAGCGUUAAUCGGAAUUACUGGGCGUAAAGCGUGCGCAGGCGGUUUGUUAAGACAGAUGUGAAAUCCCCGGGCUCAACCUGGGAACUGCAUUUGUGACUGGCAAGCUAGAGUGUGGCAGAGGGGGGUGGAAUUCCGCGUGUAGCAGUGAAAUGCGUAGAUAUGCGGAGGAACACCGAUGGCUAAGGCAGCCCCCUGGGCCAACACUGACGCUCAUGCACGAAAGCGUGGGGAGCAAACAGGAUUAGAUACCCCUGUAGUCCCUGUCUCUUAUAC
rnacentral:rRNA from 1 species